UACGGAGGGGGCAAGCGUUGUUCGGAAUCAUUGGGCGUAAAGAGUAUGUAGGCGGCUAUUUAAGUCAGGCGUGUAAGCCCACGGCUCAACCGUGGAAUUGCGUUUGAAACUAUUUAGCUUGAGUACAGGAGAGGAAGGCGGAAUUCCCAGUGUAGCGGUGAAAUGCAUUGAUAUUGGGAGGAACACCAAUGGCGAAGGCAACUUUCCGGCCUAAAACUGACGCUGAGGGACGAAAGCGUGGGGAGCGAACAGG
rnacentral:rRNA from 1 species